rfam:Gossypium raimondii chromosome 13, whole genome shotgun sequence.
AUCCCAUGAUGAGGACAUUUACGAAGUAACUUCUUAAAUAGCUCCCAAGUCUCACACAAAGACUCGUCAUCCAAUUGUUAGAAAAUUGUGAUCUCAUUCCUUUACUU